AUGAGCCGGUGGCAGUCUUUGCACUUCCUGGUUCUAAGUUAAUGGUCCGAGACUUUCCCUUGCCCUCAGCCCCUCAUCCUGUUGUUGGAAGACCUUGGAGCAGAUGAGAUGUGCUUAUGGCCUCCUGGGUGAACAUGAUAAUCCAGAGCCAUGAAGCCCUUGCCCUUCCUGCCCUUCCCCAGAUGCAGCUAGAAACAGAGAAGGAGAGAGUAUCCCUCCUGGAGACACUGCUGAGGACCCAGAAGGAGCUGGCAGAUGCUAGUCAACAGCUGGAAAGGCUGAGACAGGACAUGAAGAUUCAGAAGUUAAAGGAACAGGUAUGGCGAUGGCCCUGUGCCUGAUCCUUCUGCUUCUACCACCUAGUGUGGACCAUAACACCUCAUUUAAAGUAUUGUUAGGGAUUGAACUGUGGGGCUUCAGUGCUAGAAGGAGGCAGUUUUUAAUUACCUUUAAAUUACAUCUGUUUGUUUAUUCUGUGUGCAUGUGCAUGCAUGUACAUAUGGCAUGACAUGCCUAUGGAAUUCCCAUGGUAGAGUUGGCUCUUUCCUUCUGCCAGCUGGGACCCUGGAUUGACUUCGGGUCAUCACACUUGGCAGCAGAACCUUCCCAGCUAAGGGUAGUUUUGAAGGACAUGUUAGGCACAGGAUUCCAUUGUCAGAGGGCCCUGAAACAGACAGACAGAGGCUUAGGAAAUAUGGGGUAAAAGGAGGUACAUGGCUCUAGUGUGAUAAACUUGGGGUCAGUACAGAAGAGAGGAGAGAAGGAAAGGACCCCUCCUUAGCCAUGGGAGCUUGGGGUUUGUUUAGAGGCCAGUGGAAAACUGGUGACUGAUAUUUUAAGUGUAAGAGAGAUGCAUGAUUUUUUUAUAUUUAUUUAUUUUAUGUAUAUGAGUACACUGUAGCUGUCUUCAGACACACCAGAAAAUGGCAUUGGAUCCCAUAACAGAUGGUUGUGACCCACCAUGGGGUUGCUGGAAAUUGAACUCUGGACCUCUGGAAGAGCAGACAGUGCUCUUAACCUCUGAGCCAUCUCUCCAGUCCCAGAUUUAUUUAUUUUUAUGUUAUGUGUAUGAAUGUCUUGCCUGCAUGUAUGUAUAUAUACCAUGUUCAGGCCUGGUACCUGCAGAGGCCAGAAGAUGUCAGAGCCCCUGGAACUGGAGUUAGUGAAGUUUUGAGUCACCAUAUGGUUUCUGGGAACUGAACCUGGGUAUUCUGCAAGAGCAAAGAGCAGCCAGUGCUCUUAACCACCAACCAUUUCCCUAGCCCCUCAUGCAUGAUUUUAUAUAUUCUUGUUUACGUUUUUUUUAAAUUAUUGUUAUCUUUUGGUGGUUCUGGGGAUCAAACCUGGAUAUGUUAGGCAAAUGUUCAACUACUAAAUUACAAAAUUACUACAUUUUUAUUAUUAACUUAAUUAAUUAAAUAAUUUUUGAGGCAGAGUUUCUCUGUUAUGUAGCUUCUACAUGUCUCUGCUACCCUAGAGCUAGGAUUAUAGGCAUAUGUCACCAUGCCUGACCAGGAUAUCUUUUUAAUGCUGUACUAGACCAGGUGGAAAUGUGUGUGUGUGUGUGUGUGUGUGCAAUUAAGUGGAAAUAAGGAUCUGCUUAGGAGGCUGCUAAUGAGUCUGCUAGGGACAGUUACCAGCUCUUGGGCUUGCCCAGAAAAGUUGGCUGAACCCAUGCAGGCAUAGGAGGGGAAAUGAGGUCUGAGAAUAGAGGGAGAAAGUAUGCAUUGCUACUUCCUGCCUCAGUUUCUGCCAACUCAAUAGAAACAAACAGACCAAUUAUUUAUAUAGUAAGGAUUUCAGGAGCUAGCUCCCAUGGGAGCUUUUCUGUACUCCCCGAUUGCUUUCUAUAGGAGACCACUGGCAUGCUGCAGGCCCAGCUUCAGGAAACACAGCAGGAGCUGAAGGAGGCAGCCCAGCAGCACAGGGACGACCUUGCUGCCUUCCAGAAGGACAAGCUGGACCUGCAGAAGCAGGUACCUUUUUUUCUACUUGCCCCACAGCCCUUCCUUCCUACUCCCUUCUACAGACAGUGGAAUCUGGGUCCUGCUUCUUGACCUCGGGAGAACAGAGAUAGGCCACCGAACUAAAUGCAGAGUUGAAGGGUGUUCAGAGCUGAGCAUGUACCUUUGAGAGUUCUGGGAUUGUAUUACUAGCCCUCUUUAUCCACAAAUUCUGCCAAUGGCCAGUUGAAAACAUUGGGAAGGCUUUUUAGUGUAAAUGUAUAGACUUUUUUUUGUUCUCUAAAAUAUAACAACCGUUUACAUAGCAUUCACAUUUCAUUAGGUACUGUUUACAUCAUAUUAGGUUUGGUAAGUAACUUGGAGAUGGUUUAAAAUGCAUAAGAGAAUGUGACUAGGUUAUAUUCAAUUACUGUAUGUUUAAUCUCAGCAUUUAAGAGGUGGACUGUUGAGAUUGAAGUCAGUUGGAGCUGCAGAGUGGGAUUCUGUCUCUAAAACAAGAGCCGGUUAGGAAGAUGGCUGCACUGAUAAAGUACCUGCUACACAGCGUUAGGGUCCGAGUUGAGAUUCUCAGCCCCCUCAUGAAGAUCUGGGUGUGAAGGCAGGUGCUGACCCUAGCGCUGAAGAGGCAGAGGCAGGAGGAUCUCUGGAGCUCACUGGUCGGCUGAUCCUGCUGAAAGUAAAUUCCAGGUUUAAGGAGAAAGAGAGACCCUGCCUC
rnacentral:lncRNA from 1 species